UACGAAGGGGGCGAGCGUUGUUCGGAAUUACUGGGCGUAAAGGGCGCGUAGGCGGCCGAUCAAGUCAGAUGUGAAAGUCCUGGGCUUAACCUGGGGACUGCAUUUGAUACUGAUUGGCUUGAAUGCAGGAGAGGAUAGCGGAAUUCCCAGUGUAGAGGUGAAAUUCGUAGAUAUUAGGAAGAACACCGGUGGCGAAGGCGGCUAUCUGGACUGUGAUUGACGCUGAGGCGCGAAAGCGUGGGGAGCAAACAGG
rnacentral:rRNA from 1 species